rnacentral:rRNA from 1 species
GCCAGACUCCUACGGGAGGCAGCAGUGGGGGAUAUUGCACAAUGGGGGGAACCCUGAUGCAGCGACGCCGCGUGGGUGAAGGAGCGUUUCGGCGCGUAAAGCCCUAUCGGCAGGGAAGAAGGAGGACGGUACCUGACUAAGAAGCCCCGGCUAACUACGUGCCAGCAGCCGCGGUAAUACGUAGGGGGCAAGCGUUAUCCGGAUUUACUGGGUGUAAAGGGGGCGCAGACGGCAGCGCAAGCCAGGAGUGAAAGCCCGGGGCCCAACCCCGGGACUGCUCUUGGAACUGCGCGGCUGGAGUGCAGGAGGGGCAGGCGGAAUUCCUGGUGUAGCGGUGAAAUGCGUAGAUAUUAGGAGGAACACCAGUGGCGAAGGCGGCCUGCUGGACUGUAACUGACGUUGAGGCUCGAAGGCGUGGGGAGCAAACAGGAUUAGAUACCCCUGUACG